rnacentral:tRNA from 1 species
UUCCCGGCACAGAAGAGGGACCUAAAGCAGCCCUUACGAGGCUGAGAUCGCCGGUUCAAGUCCGGCCCGGCCCACCA